rnacentral:lncRNA from 1 species
GGCGCGCCUCGGGCAGGGCAGCCGCCCCGCUCGGCGCCCGGCGGCGGCGGCUGCGCGGGGACGGAUUUGGCGUCCCGCUUCCUAGUCUCAGCGGCGGGAAGGAGGUCCCGUGGUGAGAGACUGCGCACGCGCCGUCCGUCGGGGGCUUCAUAGCUAGCCGGACUGGCGGCUCCGCCUCUGAUUUCUCGGCUUUCUGCUCCGAGCGGAGAAGCUAGUCACGAGUUUCCCGUCACCGACGGGGCGGAGAAAGUCCUUGUGAUUGUCACAGGAUGUAGUUCUGCGGAGUCCUGGCCUUAGGUCGGGUGCGAGGAAUGGAGGCUCCUGGGUUAGUUUUGCAAAGUCCAAGGCACGCUUUUCGGGGUUCCCGGGGGUCUUUAGGGCACGACCCUCGCCCGUGGAGGGAGAAACGGAGGCCAAGUUUGUGGUCCACGGAAGGAACGCUGAAUCUGCAGCCGGUCGAGGCUGUGAUUUAUGCGGCUCAAAGUGAUGACAGCGCCCGGCUUUAAAAAAGCCGAAGUCAAGUUCCGAGAGGUUUAAUGAGGGUGAUGGUGAUGGUUUUAGGCUCCUGGAACUUCAGGCUCGCGGAACGGGAGAUCCUUUGAAGGGAAGCACAGCCUGGGGCUGCGGGUCUCAGCCGGCGGCAAGUCAGGGGCCCUGAGUGCACCUAUGGGUGACACCACUCCCUCUGGAUUAAGCCCAGGAAAGGGCGGGUCCAGCUUCUAAACCUUGACAGCCUGGUUCCAGAAAUCUGGUGGUUUGUUACCUAUAUAAGUUCUUCACGCCCUUUCAAGCCUACUCAAAUCUUCUCUAUUCCUGGAGGAACCAAACUUGUACCAUGAAGAAUUUAUUCUUGUGGGUUUCACAACCCCUUUCUCCUGUUGUCUUUAAAACGCCGCCUCGCCUAAGAGUGGCAUACUGUGAACUCCUUCCACGUUGGUGUGACGCGCCUUAGUCAGAGGUGGAGCACUGGAAACAUUGGAUUUGGAAAUUACAAGUUCUGGGUGGGAAUUGGCGCUUUGCCACUGGCGAUGAGACUUUGGGCAAGUUUUCUAAACAUCUGUGAAACUUCCUUUUUUUUUUUUUUUUAAAUAAAAUGGGUUUAAUUAUGUCUGCCUCACCCAGUAGUGAGUCAACCACAUGAUGCUGAUGUUACUAAUAAUAAUGAUUAAAGUCCGAC